UCUGGAUCAAUAAUCCAUGGGACCCACUUGUACAUGCUGAAAACGUGAGUUUAUUGUAAAUUUUGUAAUUUGAGGAUCCUAGAAUUCCUCUAUAUAUUAUCCAUUCUCAACUCCAUGUCCUUAUAAAAGAGAAAUUGCCAGAAGGCUUGCACAUUCCACCUCACCACAUGAUUAACUAGACUGUUCGUCUAGGUUCCACCAUGGAUAAGCUGCAUCAGAAAACUUACUCAGCAAAGAUGACAUUGUCCAUACUCUAUUAGAAAUGAUGCUCCAGAAAGGUAGUUUCUAGUUCACCUUCUAAUGGAGGGUGGAUCCCUGAUUCCUGAUAUUUUUGCCAUGUUGGGCCAUUUACAGUGGUACCUCUAGAUGAACAGUCCAUAUCAUGACAUGACGUAUGCAUUGAAUCUCUCAUACAAAUAAACAGAACCCCUUCCAAUUUGAACGUCAUGAUCUUCUACA